rnacentral:rRNA from 1 species
UCGAACGGCAGCACGGGAGCUUGCUCCUGGUGGCGAGUGGCGAACGGGUGAGUAAUGCGUCGGAACGUACCGAGUAAUGGGGGAUAACGCAGCGAAAGCUGUGCUAAUACCGCAUACGCCCCGAGGGGGAAAGCAGGGGAUCGCAAGACCUUGCGUUAUUCGAGCGGCCGACGUCUGAUUAGCUGGUUGGUGGGGUAAAGGCCUACCAAGGCGACGAUCAGUAGCGGGUCUGAGAGGAUGAUCCGCCACACUGGGACUGAGACACGGCCCAGACUCCUACGGGAGGCAGCAGUGGGGAAUUUUGGACAAUGGGGGAAACCCUGAUCCAGCCAUGCCGCGUGAGUGAAGAAGGCCUUCGGGUUGUAAAGCUCUUUCGGCCGGGAAAAAAUUGCACGGAUGAACAGUCUGUGUAGAUGAUGGUACCGGACUAAGAAGCACCGGCUAACUACGUGCCAGCAGCCGCGGUAAUA